rnacentral:rRNA from 1 species
CCUACGGGGGGCAGCAGGCGCGAAAACCGCACAAUGCUGGAAACAGCGAUGCGGGAAUUCCAAGUGCCGGCACAAAGUGUCGGCUGUUCCAUUGUCUAAAAAACAUAGGAAGUAAGGGCUGGGUAAGACGGGUGCCAGCCGCCGCGGUAAA